rnacentral:tmRNA from 1 species
UCGCUGAGGGUUAACUUAAUAGACACGGCUAAGCAUGUAGUACCGACAGCGGAGUACUGGCGGACGGGGGUUCAAAUCCCCCCGGCUCCACCACACACCCUAUACAAAUCAAGCACUUAGCGUUUAUCGCAAGUGCUUUUUUUGUGCCUUUUGGGGCUGUUUUGGCUGGGUAAUGCCAGCUUAAUGACAGCAUCACAAUGCAAGGAAGCAGCAUGAGUGGUUACGUACCAAACCUGCCUAAGGGCUACCGCCAUAGCGGCGUAGAGCCUGUUGAUACUUAUGCCCAGCGUUGGGCGGAAUACAAAGAUCUCCCCGCGAAGACGGAGUUGAACGCCACUACCAAAGGCUGUGUAUU